GACGAACCGUGCAAACGUUACUCGGAUUCACUGGGCUUAAAGGGCGCGUAGGCUGUCCGCUAAGUCGUGGGUGAAAUCUUUCGGCUCAACCGGAAGACUGCCCUCGAUACUGGCGGGCUAGAGGGAGGUAGGGGCAGCGGGAACUGCCAGUGGAGCGGUGAAAUGCGUUGAUAUUGGCGGGAACGCCGGUGGCGAAAGCGCGCUGCUGGACCUUCCCUGACGCUGAGGCGCGAAAGCUAGGGGAGCAAACGGG
rnacentral:rRNA from 1 species